UCUAAGGAGCCGCCCCCCCACACUACAAACAGUUAAAAAGCAAAAGUUGUACAACGUUCAUUAGGCCUACCCGUAACUCUAUCUUCACGGUGUACAAUAUUAAUUAUCUCAUCAAUCGACGGAACAAUGGCUGACAAUUACGAUGGUAAGUGUGUUUUUCAUCGGUGUUAUUUAAAUAUAUUUAAACGUGAAUAUUUGUUUUACAUCCUGUGUUUAUAAACUCUAGGUACUUUUGAGAAUCUGGAUUUCGACGAAGGCUUGGAACAGAUCCUUGAACAACUAUUUGACGAGGCCCAAUUAGUUACCUGUGAUGAUGACUGCGAUGUUAAUAACGGUGAACAUGUUGGUUCUGACAGCCACGUGGUAAUAUUACCUACAGAGGAGGCAUUGCAAGAGGUUGUAGUUAGGUCGGAAUCACGUCACGAGACAAACAACGUCACACGAACCACCCCCGAGCGCGUUACGUCUUCAGAGGAAGGAUCUCACAAGCUCACCACCAGCACGAGCGAUCACACCCCUGCCGCAUCCAGCUCCCCAAUGCCGCGAUUGAGGCCUCAGCAUACAGGCGGUCAGGGUGUGAAACGCUUGAGGUUACAGGAGCAGGAUACGGAUGACUCCCCGA